rnacentral:rRNA from 1 species
AAUAGUUUUUUAAAUGGAAACUGGGAUGAAUGAAGUGAUGAGAUUUAUACUGUCUUAAAUUAAAUUAUUAAAUUUAUUAAUUAAGUAAAAAUACUUAAAUAAAAGUAUGGGACGAGAAGACCCUGUAGAAUUUUAUAUAAAUUUAUUAUAUGUGUAUUAUGGUUAGGUGUUUAGUAAUUUUAUAUUUUAUUGGGAGGAUAAAUAAAUUAAAAAAACUUUAAUAGAAAAAUCCAUUAAUUUAUGAGUUUUGAGUAAAAUGAGUGAUUAUAUAAAUUUUAAAAGAAUUAAUUACCUUAGGGAUAACAGCGUAAUAUUUUUAGAGAGAUCUUAUUAAUAAAAAUGGUUGC